rnacentral:misc_RNA from 1 species
CAGAGUUGAAAAACUCCCUAACCCUUUGUUUACGUACCUGUUCAGUUGCUUCGGCAGGCGGCCCCAGGGCGGGGCCUCCAGCCUGCUCACGCAGGUGCCUGCCGCUGGCGCAAAAAAACUCUUGUUAUAUAUUACCACUCUGAGUCUAAAAACAAAUGAAUCA